UGGUCAGAAUGGAUAAAAUAAAAAACCCACGACCUUCCGCUUAGCGUGCAGAUGCCAUGACCACUAGGCCACAUGACC